AUUCCAGUGGCGGACAAAAAAAAAAAAAAAACCUGUGCUGUGGUGCAUCUUACAACCAGUCACCAUGGCUGCUCUCACCUUUGCUCACCACAUCCUCCUCUCCAAACCCUCCUCCUUCCUUCAUUCCACCAAAUCCGCACAUGGGUUCACCACCUUCGUCUUCGUAUCCUCACCUUUUAUUCGCAGACACAAAUCCACACAACCAAUAGCUUCUUCACUCCUUGAACUCGGUGGAAUUCAAAUCUCCAAACAAGAUGUGGUUAAGGAUGAACCGACAAAUAAUGUCCCGGAUCUAAUAUUCACUAAACUUGGAUUGCAACUUCAUAGAAGAGACAAUCAUCCCCUUGGGAUCCUCAAGAAUGCAAUAUAUGAGUAUUUUUGACACCAACUAUAACAAUCAGUUUCUUAAGUUUGAUGAUUUGUGCCCUAUCGUUACUACUAAUCAUUUGGGCCCAUAUUCGAGGUGGCAGUUUCAAUCCAUUUAUUUAAACAUUAAUUAUGUAUAAAUUAUUUUUCGAUCAAUGUUGGUUCGGGUCUGAUCAACUCAAUCCAGAUGGAAGGAGUUAGAAUGUUCAGUCCAAAUGAUUGGAAUGAUUCUGGUAAGGAUGGAACUUCGUACGCUGCAGAUGAUCUAAAAGCUUGUCUUGAGGGUUUGGCACGUCACCUUUUCGGUGCUGUUGAAAUGUGAUGGGCCAAAACGAGCUGGCCUAAAACAACUUUUGUCCUAAUCUUAUUAUAUAGUAAUAUACUUUGAAGAACCUGAUUUGACUUCCAUGGCCUCCCCUUGUUGAUGCAGUUUA